rnacentral:rRNA from 1 species
ACUCAAAGGAAUAGACGGGGGCCCGCACAAGCAGUGGAUUAUGUGGUUUAAUUCGAAGCAACGCGAAGAACCUUACCAGGGCUUGACAUGGAGAUGACCGUACUAGAGAUAGUGCUUUCCCUUCGGGGACAUCUCACACAGGUGGUGCAUGGUUGUCGUCAGCUCGUGUCGUGAGAUGUUGGGUUAAGUCCCGCAACGAGCGCAACCCUUAUUGCUAGUUGCUACGCAAGAGCACUCUAGCGAGACUGCCGUUGACAAAACGGAGGAAGGUGGGGACGACGUCAAAUCAUCAUGCCCCUUAUGUCCUGGGCUACACACGUAAUACAAUGGCAUUUAACAGAGGGAAGCGAAGGAGCGAUCUGGAGCAAAUCCCUAAAAGGUGUCUCAGUUCGGAUUGCAGGCUGCAACUCGCCUGUAUGAAGUCGGAAUUGCUAGUAAUCGCGGAUCAGCACGCCGCGGUGAAUACGUUCCCGGGCCUUGCACACACCGCCCGU